AACUUUCAACAACGGAUCUCUUGGCUCUCGCAUCGAUGAAGAACGCAGCGAAAUGCGAUAAGUAAUGUGAAUUGCAGAUUUUCAGUGAAUCAUCGAAUCUUUGAACGCA
rnacentral:rRNA from 2 species